CCUUGUACACACCGCCCGUCACACCAUGGGAGCGGGUUCUGCCAGAAGUAGUUAGCCUAACCGCAAGGAGGGCGAUUACCACGGUAGGAUUCGUGACUGGGGUG
rnacentral:rRNA from 1 species